GUCCACGCCGUAACGAUGGGUACUAGGUGUCUGGGGAGGCGACCCCUCGGGUGCCGGCGCUAACGCAUGAAGUACCCCGCCUGGGGAGGUACGGCCGCAAGGCUGAAACUCAAAGGAAUUGACGGGGCCCGGCACAAGCGGUGGAGCAUGUGGUUUAAUUCGACGCAACGCGAAGAACCUUACCUAGGCUUGACAUGCUGGAGAAAGCUCGCAGAAACGUGAGCCCCUCUUCGGAGUUCCAGCACAGAUGCUGCAUGGCUGUCGU
rnacentral:rRNA from 1 species